rnacentral:tRNA from 1 species
CCCCCGAUAGCUCAACGGUAGAGCACUCGGCUGUAGCCCGAGUUACCCAAGUUCGACUCUUGGUCGGGGGA